GAAGAGAGAGUUCAAGAGUACGUGAAACCAUUAGAAGCCCAAGUGAUUGGAACUGUGAAGGUCAAAAGAGGGGAUUCAGCUGGCCGGUUUAUGGUGGAGGGUGUGGUACAAGUUGCAUUUUAGUGAGAGGACCUGGCGUAAAAGUGAUUGCUGUGGCCCUGCCCCUGUCAUCUGGAGCCCUGCGGUCUUAGUUCUCCCUCGAGUAGUGCCCACUGCGACCCGAUGGGUGGCCCCCAAGGGUUGCGACGGACUGGUAGCCCGCACUUUGGUGUAGGCGAUGACUGGCUGCAGUACUGACUGGGCCUGCCCGGCGGUCACUGGAAGGAGGCUGCCCUGAGUGGCCUCUUGCAACAUGAGAGAGAUUGGUAAUCCAUUGGACCCAUCUUGAAACAAGGAGUCCGACAUGUGUGCGAGUCUAAGGGUGGACUAAACCCGGAGGCAAAAUGAAAGUGAGCCCUUGGUGGGCAGGCCAAUCUCUUGUCAGUGCCAGCCUGGCGGGUGGGCGAUGUGAGUCAGUGUCUACCGUCCUUGCUGAUGUUGCUGGCACUGGCGUCCGGUCCUUUCAGGGAUUAGAAAUGGGGCGCAGGAUGAGUUCUUGUUAUUGUGUAGUGUUGGCUAUGGGACGCUUAUGUCCUCAACCCGAUAUUCACCGGCAAGUACCUGAGAGUGUAGCUGCUGGGAACCGAAAGAUGGUGAACUAUGCUUGGAGAGAACAAAACCAGAGGAAACUCUGGUGGAGGUCUGAAGCAGAUUUGAUGUGCAAGUCAUUUGUCAGAGCUGGGUAUAGUGGCGAAAGAUUAAUGGAACUGUCUAGUAGUUAGUUCCCUCUGAAGUUUCCCUCAGGAUAACUGGUAUUCAGCAGGAUGAGUUUCAUCCAGUAAAGUGAAUGAUUAGUGGCCUUGGUGGUGCAAUGCCAUCAACCUAUUACCAAACUUUAAAUGGGCGAGACAUGGAGUUUGCUUGAAAUGUAAAGCUCUAUGAUGCAAAGAAUCAGAGUGCAUGGUGGGCCACUUUUGGUAAGCAGAACUGGCGCUG
rnacentral:rRNA from 1 species